GACGAACGCUGGCGGCGUGCUUAACACAUGCAAGUCGAACGGAAAGGCCCUGCUUGCAGGGUACUCGAGUGGCGAACGGGUGAGUAACACCUUGGUGAUCUGCCCUGCACUUCGGGAUAAGCCUUGGAAACUGUUUCUAUUUCCGGAUAUGAGCCAUUUUUAUUUUGUUGGUUGUUAAGUUUUUUUGGUGUGUGAUGAGCUGGCGGCCUAUCAGCUUGUUGGUGGGGUAAUUGGCUACCAAGGCGGCGACGGGUAGCCGGCCUUAGAGGGUGGACGGGCACAUUGGGAAUGAGAAACGGCCAAGACACAUACGGGGAGGAGAAGGGGGGAAUAGUGAAAAAAGGGAGCAAGCCAGAUGCAGAGACGGCGAGUGGGGGAUGAAGGCCUUGGGGUUGUAAACACAUAUCGCUAGGGACGAAGAUGUUUGUGACGGUACCUAGAGAAGAAGCACCGGCUAACUACGUG
rnacentral:rRNA from 1 species